CGGCGGACGGCUCAGUAACACGUCGGUAACCUACCCUCGGGAGGGGGAUAACCCCGGGAAACUGGGGCUAAUCCCCCAUAGGCCUGAGGUACUGGAAGGUCCUCAGGCCGAAAGGGGCUUCGGCCCGCCCGAGGAUGGGCCGGCGGCCGAUUAGGUAGUUGGUGGGGUAACGGCCCACCAAGCCGAAGAUCGGUACGGGCCAUGAGAGUGGGAGCCCGGAGAUGGACACUGAGACACGGGUCCAGGCCCUACGGGGCGCAGCAGGCGCGAAACCUCCGCAAUGCGGGAAACCGCGACGGGGGGACCCCCAGUGCCGUGGCAUCGCCACGGCUUUUCCGGAGUGUAAAGAGCUCCGGGAAUAAGGGCUGGGCAAGGCCGGUGGCAGCCGCCGCGGUAAUACCGGCGGCCCGAGUGGUGGCCGCUAUUAUUGGGCCUAAAGCGUCCGUAGCCGGGCCCGUAAGUCCCUGGCGAAAUCCCACGGCUCAACCGUGGGGCUUGCUGGGGAUACUGCGGGCCUUGGGACCG
rnacentral:rRNA from 1 species